UGUGAAUGCACUUGUGCAUGCAAUGUGUCU
rnacentral:piRNA from 1 species